rnacentral:rRNA from 1 species
CAACGCUGGCGGCGUGCCUCAGACAUGCAAGUCGAACGAUUAAAGCUCUCUUCGGAGAGUGUAUAGAGUGGCGCACGGGUGAGUAACACGUAAGUAAUCUACCCUCGAGUGGGGAAUAACAACCGGAAACGGUUGCUAAUACCGCAUAAUGCAGCGGCACCGCAAGGUGACAGUUGUUAAAGAUUUAUCGCUUGAGGAGGAGCUUGCGGCAGAUUAGCUAGUUGGUAGGGUAACGGCUUACCAAGGCUACGAUCUGUAACCGGUCUAAGAGGACGGUCGGUCACACUGACACUGAAUAACGGGUCAGACUCCUACGGGAGGCAGCAGUCGGGAAUUUUGGGCAAUGGGCGAAAGCCUGACCCAGCAACGCCGCGUGAAGGAUGAAGUAUUUCGGUAUGUAAACUUCGAAAGAAUAGGAAGAAUUAAUGACGGUACUAUUUAUAAGGUCCGGCUAACUACGUG